UACAAUUACCUAUCCAUUGGAGUUCCAUUUCCCUCCUCCUCACCUGCAGUUGAAGGUAAAAAGCCUCUUGAGGUCACCAAAUAAAAGAAUGUUCUGUCUCUCAAAAGAAGAGGUACACAUGUUCUCAGCAAACCAAAAUGUUCUGAUGAAAGUACUUCUCAGGAAAAAUGGCAGGAAAAUGUUGAAACUGUGUUUCAUAUUUGGUUCAGGUUCUGCCAAGAUAGAUUCUUUUUCACAAGACUGGGGAGGCAAGCAUGUUGGAGCUAGAAAAGACAGAACCCUGCUGGAACUAUACUGAAAAACCUGCCGGGUAAUGACGCUGUUUCCUUUUUAUUUUUGUUUGAGCUGCAAUAAAGCUGGUACUUUCAGAACACAAAAGCUACAUUCCUGCUGUGACUUCUCAAAGUGCUUCUCAAAAUACCCAUGCAACAGCUGACACAUAAAAAAUGUACAUGAAUGUCUGGAUGGCUUCCCGGACCUGUCUGGAGGUACACACCCAGUUUUCAGGUGAUGGAGAUGUCUUCAAAAUGUUGGACUUCUAGCAAGAGUUCUCUGCCUAAAACUACUCAGAAUCUGCCAAGUUCUGGAAUCCACUUAGGCUGUCUGGGUUGUCCUGGUGAGGAUGAUGAUCAUGUUAAAGAUGAAAGAGACAGCUGGAAAAGAUAUUUAAUAGAGGUAUACGUGGAGUGUGAUGGAAUCCAUUCUUAAGAAAGAGGUAAAUCAUCAACCUAGACUUGAUCUCAAUUACUCUUCCAGUCAAAAGGACUGGCUAUUCCCUCCAGACCCAUUGCAUGAGCUACACAUGAGGCAUCUAGCCAUGAACAUGAUGGAGAAACAGAGAGCUUUAGAAUGACACAUAUCAGAAGAGAAGCCAUUCCCCAGUAGUAAGUAACUAGCAGCAGGUUAAAGCGAUCUUGAAGCAAGUGUAAUCAUAGAUAGUUAGAACAAGGAAGUGACUGUUAACAGUCCAGGUUGCUUGCAAGUGUAAGACAAUGGGAAGCUGAGGAGCGGAAGCUAAUAAGGCAAGGAAAAAAAAAUCUGUUCUAGCCAGAGUAGACCAAAUCACUUUGUUAGUGAGCUAGUGAGGAGGAUCUAGAAAUUCAUUUCAAG
rnacentral:lncRNA from 1 species